UCGAAGCCGCUAUUCAGUUCGCGUUGCAAGUCGGCCGAAUAUAGUUACUGAAUCGCAACUACCGUGCCGUUUUCGCGUCUGUUUUCCUGAUCUGCGCAAAUUUCGCGUGCGAACGAACAUCAGUAAAAUUGAAGUCAACAAGGGAGGAUCGUUUCGACAUAUUAUUUACGCGACCGCAAUUAGCGCUCCUCUCAAUAUUCAUAACCUAUUUAUUGCUUCGCAUUCAAUCGGACAGGCGUCCAUCAAAAGGAUCCAUGUCGCGCGUUCGCUUGUCCGAUAAUUGUCCCGAAUGCCAUCUAGCUUCCGAAAUGGAGAAGCAUUAAGAGGCAUCAAUAGAUCGCCGCGGCUACGAGGUCAUGAUAUAUUAGCGGAACAGCUGAUUUCACUUACUGAUGUUCGUGUAAUGGUUCGUAUCCACUUCAAUUGCCGAUUGUGCGUAACUUCUCGAAUUCUCGCCAGUCGCAAGCGUAUCGUGCAUGACAGAAAUCGGGAGUGCCGAAUAAUUCUACGGGCGAGUGUGUCAAUUAAUCCGUUCAAUUGCAAUCAAAUGCGUAUCGCGCCGAUUGCGUUUCGUCGGCAUAACCUAUAACGUGUGUGCAUUAUUUCGUGAGUUUUAUUCGUGAGUUUUAUUCGUGAAUGUGAUUAUUCGCGAAUGUGAUCGAAAAUUGCGAAUAUAUCAUAAAUACAUCGUGGUGCAUCGAGAGAUCACUAUAACGGAUUAAUCGAGAGAAAGAGAGGGAGAGAGAGAGAUGGCUGCUGCAUACCUACGGUGUUCCGUGGUGAUAAAUUUCAUGCUAUACUUGGCUGCUAAUAAAUAUUCAUUCUGCUAUAAUUCACGCGAACGUGCGCGAGUGUUAUGAAGCAGCAAAAUCAUUGAGAAAAGGAGAAAGCCCAAGGGACAUAACGAGACAUCGGAGCAGAAUUGCGGAUGAUAGCAACGGGAUGAUACGACAAAACAGAAAGCGGCGGAUUCGGCGUGGCCGUAAUUGGCGUCGUGAAGAGGAAAACGAGAGAGGUCGUAGGCAGCCAGGUCGCUGUUUAUACAUGUGCGGUUGCAGACAUAACAGUCGUUAGAUGUAGCUAAAAGCAUACUUAACCAGAUAACAACGGCCGGUUCCCUCUCUGUCUCGGCCGUCUGGCUUUCGAAGAUCGCUACGACGCAGUAAGUAGCGGCCAUAAUCUUGGUGUAUGCGAGCGAGCAUCGUUGUAAGUCCGCCUGUAAACGGCCGAAUUAUUCAAAUGUUCGCACCCGCUAGUACCGAGCGUUACUGUAGCGACGACGACAAGUGGUGCGCAAGCGGCCAAGCCAGCCGCGUAACUCCCGCCAGGCGUUCCGCGUUCCACGACGACGAUAAAUUGACGUCGAUAUCGCGGCCAAUUUCCAGAAUGCGUUUAAGAUGUAGUCACGUUAGCGCUCGUGCGAAGGAGAGUGUGUAGGGGGAAUUUCACGAGUACGAAGAGGCACGCGAUCGUGCGGUUAAAAAUGCCAUUAUCUUGCGCGAAUAAUACGAAAUGUGUCCAUCCUGUACGUGAGCGCGUGGAGAGAAAAGCAAUUCUGCAUAUGUAUGUCGUUGAGAAACAACAGAGAACUGACUUUCGUGAAAUUUAAGAAAAAAACGGACGAUUAUAAACUUACGAAAGCGAGGAGUACUUGUUGGGCAAGCGACGAAGUGAAAUUUUGUCGGCGAAUACGAUAAUCAACGAAUUUGAAAAACGCCAGCGGUGAUUACAAUUCGACUGUAAACGGUCGGAGAGAGAGAGAGAGAGAGAGAGAGAGAGAGA